GUGGGGAAUAUUGGACAAUGGGCGAAAGCCUGAUCCAGCCAUGCCGCGUGUGUGAAGAAGGUCUUCGGAUUGUAAAGCACUUUAAGUUGGGAGGAAGGGCAGUAAGUUAAUACCUUGCUGUUUUGACGUUACCGACAGAAUAAGCACCGGCUAACUUCGUGCCAGCAGCCGCGGUAAUACGAAGGGUGCAAGCGUUAAUCGGAAUUACUGGGCGUAAAGCGCGCGUAGGUGGUUUUGUAAGUUGGAGGUGAAAUCACCGGGCUCAACCUGGGAACUGCAUCCAAAACUGCAUGACUAGAGUACGGUAGAGGGUAGUGGAAUUUCCUGUGUAGCGGUGAAAUGCGUAGAUAUAGGAAGGAACACCAGUGGCGAAGGCGACUACCUGGACUGAUACUGACACUGAGGUGCGAAAGCGUGGGGAGCAAACAGGAUUAGAAACCCCUGUAGUCC
rnacentral:rRNA from 1 species